GUUCUUGCUUCGACAGCACAUAUACUAAAAUUGGAACGAUAUGGAGAAGGUUAGCAUGGCCCCCUGCACAAGGAUGACACACAAAUUCGUGAAGCAUUCCAUAUUUAA
ensembl:snRNA U6 U6 spliceosomal RNA